rnacentral:tmRNA from 3 species
GGGGCUGCACUGGUUUCGACACGGGUUCGGACGCGCAGCAGGGCAUGUCGAGCUGAAUGCGCUCGUAAAACAGAUUCAAACAAACUAACUGCAAACGACGAACGUUUCGCACUCGCUGCUUAAUUGCACGUGAGGCUCACAACAGCAAGCCGAUAGGCUGGGCAAGGGUGGCGCAAGCCGUCCAGGCUGUGGGCUAAUUUCAUUCGGCUGGGCCUGCCUUGGGUAACUUAGGGUGGGCCGAGACAAUAGGUUGCUGGCGUCUUGUAUAGCGUGCCACUGCGCGAUGCAAGGAGUGAGAUCUAAAUCAGACGGCUACACAUGUAGAACUGUUCGAAGAAGGCUUGUGGACGCGGGUUCAAAUCCCGCCAGCUCCACCA